CACAUUGCAGAUGUCUCUGAGAUCAACAACACUGGCACCAGCAAUGGAGAGGAGAUGAAAGAUCCUGUCGAGAGCUCAGGAGAACCUGAUUCCAUUCUAACUGACAGCAUUCAGUCCAAAGACACUGUUGAGAAGAAAGAAUGACCAGCUGUGACAAUCAACCUCAUCUGACAGCCAGCAAAACUGUGCGAAGGCCAACCCACACUGGUGUCAGGUGGCCCAUGUCAGCAUGGGCUCUGAUACUGGCCCAGGACAACCAGUUACUCACAACAUGCUCACAUGCCCAACUUUAUUUAGCCUAUUCCCUCUUUGUUAAGAAACUACUCAUCCCUGAAGUAUGUAUGUUCUGUAUGUAUAUGUAUGUAUGUACAAAACCCUACUAUAGGACUUGAACAUAUCAAGCAGAAAAGAUGAGCCAUACCUCACUGUGUGUUAGUCAUACAUCAUUUUGCUGGCAGGGUGCGAUGAGAUAAACCAGGUUCAAGUCUCUUUAUUUGAUCUAUACCCACUGUGAGAGCAUGGUGAAGCUGUCAGAGGACAACAGCCCCAGCUCCUACAUGUUGACACUUCAGGCUGGGUGAUGCUUAACAUCAACCAUCCUUUUGUUCUCACAACGCCACUCAGUCAUGGUGACAUUCAGCAGUGGAAUACCCGACAACACUACAUUUGUAAGCCUCUUUUGAGCGCGACACACUGACACCUGCCAUGUCUCCUCACACACUUCUGUAGCUCCAGGUCCAUUGUUUAGUCAAAUCAGCCAAUACCGUUGAUUCAGACCACAGUCUGUAAGGCGGUGAGUCAUUCCCCGGGCUUUUAUCUAUAAACACCACUGAUCACAUCUGAUCGGCGCCGCCGCUGUAACUGCAGCUUAACUCGUUUAACCAAGAAACUGUUCAUCAAGGCCCACGUACACUAAAGAGGAAAUGAGUGUCUUUUAACAAAUCAAUUAGUUCUUGUCCCUCUUUUUCUUUGCAGUUUCCAGUGCAUGCCAGAACAAAUUGCUUUGAACUUCAUCUACAUAAACAGGAAUUACAGUCCUCUUCGCUUUCGCUUGUCUACUUAUCAGAUUGUCUAUAAUUGUAUUGAAGGAAUCUGCCUUAUUUCAUAUCAAACCACAAAAUCACAAUCACAGACCUAAGGAGGUGGUCCAAGUAUGAAUUCUUGGUUGUGUAUUGCUUGCAGAUGAUUUGUAAUUUUAAGUACAUCAUACAAUGGCUAAUGCCUGUUGUUAAUGGUUUCUUGUGUUUUCCUCAGUUGGUUUUAAAACAUGGUUUUGGUUUCUUUUAAAUGUUGGUAUAAUUCAUGAAUUAUUUUCAGUGGUGCCAUACUAAAGAUCAGAUUAAUUAAAGUUCUAUGAAAUGAUGCCUUCAUACUUUGAUGUUUGCUUUGCUAAACUAUAACAGAAACGACUAAUAAAAUUUAAAGAUGAAA